GGCGAACGCUGGCGGCGUGCUUAACACAUGCAAGUCGAACGGAAAGGCCCUGCUUUUGUGGGGUGCUCGAGUGGCGAACGGGUGAGUAACACGUGAGUAACCUGCCCUUGACUUUGGGAUAACUUCAGGAAACUGGGGCUAAUACCGGAUAGGAGCUCCUGCUGCAUGGUGGGGGUUGGAAAGUUUCGGCGGUUGGGGAUGGACUCGCGGCUUAUCAGCUUGUUGGUGGGGUAGUGGCUUACCAAGGCUUUGACGGGUAGCCGGCCUGAGAGGGUGACCGGCCACAUUGGGACUGAGAUACGGCCCAGACUCCUACGGGAGGCAGCAGUGGGGAAUAUUGAAAAAUGGGCGGAAGCCGGAUGCAGCAACGCCGCGUGCGGGAUGACGGCCUUCGGGUUGUAAACCGCUUUCGCCUGUGACGAAGCGUGAGUGACGGUAAUGGGUAAAGAAGAACCGGCUAACUACGUG
rnacentral:rRNA from 1 species